ensembl:lncRNA
GCCUGGCCUCCCUUAAUAUGAGAAAUUCAAUAAUGCCUGUGAAGAGGUCUUCAUGGGACUACCAAACCAGACAGACUGAGACCCAAGACAAAAUAUGUAGACACGUGUUCAUCUCUUGUGUGAAAGAAAGAAGUGGUGCCUACACAUUGGAAUAGGCUACUGUUGAUUGAUAUAAAAUGGAGGGUGAGGCCUCUUUCACUGACGUAUAAAGGAAGUUAUGACAGACGUCAAGAUGGAGUGCCUGCUAAAUGAGAAAUGUGGAGAAAUGUGUUCAUGUGAGACUUUGUGUAAAUUUGAGAGCCCUGCAUUCCAGGAGUUGGAGAAGAUUUUAAUUCAGAUGGGAGGUGAAUGCCUGGCUGGGUGCUGUGGUGUUAGUGUGAGAUGGUUGGUCCUUUUGGUCGUAGUAUACUCCUCUAAUGUAGCCUCAGGGAACCAGUGUUAUAGUCUUAGUCUCAGGUCAGGACAUGACAUUUUUAUUAGUUCAUUUUGAGAGAAGCAUUACCAACACAUUUACAAACUUUGUACAAAACCUGCAUAUUAAAUAGGAAGUUUUUAAGUUGGAUGCAUGAAAAGGCUUUAAAGUAACUGAGAAAUGCUUGUUGGCUAAUGGCCAUUUGGCUGCCUCACCCAUAAACUGCAAAUACAAAUUAUAGUUAUCCGAAGUGCUACAAGUAAAUAAAUACAUACUGAAAAUGUAAAUAAUAGAGCAGGUGUCAGAGCCGACGGUGUUGCAAGCACAGCCCACAUUAAAAUGACAUGGUAUUAUUGAGGUUAUUCACAAUGAGGGCAUUUCUCAUUCUGCGCUGGGGAGAAGGAAGAACUCAGACAUUGGGGCAUUAUUGUACUGAGGGAUGGAUCUGCCCAAGUUAGACUCAGAUGUGAGGCUGUACCAAGCAUGCAAGACAACCAUCAGGUUAAGUCUGUGGAUGUCUUACUCUGUCGGAGGUGACCUGAAUAUCACAGUUCACCAGCACUCUGCAACGCAUGACCCGAACCUGUUACAUCAAAACCAUAAAGUUACCAUGGAUUUGCUUCAGUUGUGCUAAGGUUGUUGUUUUUAUUGUAAUAGUGUUGUUCUAGCAGCAGGUGGCGCCGACAAAACAGUACAUGUAUCCUGUACAAAAGUUUGAAUGCAACUUAGUGUCUGUUCCGUGUUUCAAAAGCUGAUGCAAAUCUGUACUCACAAAAAGAUUAUUCCUGUUGAAUGUUCUGCCCAAGGCAUAUAUAAUGUAAAACCAUGAUGACACUUGACACCACCCAAGACAAUAAUCCAUGACACCACCCUGGAGGAUGACCAGUAACACCACCCUGGGGGAUGGCCCGCGUCACCAUCCUAGGUGGGUCACUACAUUACUCUAGAUAAUGUCUCCCUGCACCACUCCAGAUUAUGUCCUGCUACACCACCCUAGAUGAUGGUCCCUUUACACCACCCUAGAUGAUGGUCCCUUUACAACACCAUGGAGGAUGGUCCCUUUACACCACCAUGGAGGAUGGUCCCUUUACAACACCCUGGAGGAUUGUCCCUCAACAUCACCCUAGAAGACGGCCGGCUACACCCUGGAGGAUGUGCCGUUACACCCAGAACUUAAUUUGUAAAUUCAGAGGUCCCGGAUUACAAAGUGAAUGCAGAUGCUGUAUAUCUUUUGAAUGAACGAGGUGCUGGAUCAAACGAGCUGUAAUGAGCGCGGUGCUGAAAUAACUGAGAAAAGGCCUUACACACGUACUGAUAAAUGAGUAGAAAAUAUAAAUAUAAUUAACAGAAUACCAUAACACAUCCAUAACUUUCAUCACUGCCAAAACAUAUGUGUCCACAUUAUUAACUUUUGGGACUUACACAAUCAAACUCAUCUCUUAUUAAACACUCACCUAAAGGAUUAUUAGGAAC